rnacentral:rRNA from 1 species
GUCCACUGAACCUUAUCAUUGAGAGGAAGGAGAAGUCG